rnacentral:rRNA from 1 species
AUUGAACGCUGGCGGCAGGCCUAACACAUGCAAGUCGAACGAGUGGCGGACGGGUGAGUAAUGUCUGGGAAACUGCCUGAUGGAGGGGGAUAACUACUGGAAAAGGUAGAUAAUACCGCAUACCAUCAGAUGUGCCCAGAUGGGAUUAGCUAGUGGGGGGGGUAACGGCUCACCAAGGCGACGAUCCCUAGCUGGCCUGAGAGGAUGACCGGCCACACUGGAACUGAGACACGGUCCAGACUCCUACGGGAGGCAGCAGUGGGGAAUAUUGGACAAUGGGCGCAAGCCUGAUUCAGCCAUGCCGCGUGUAUGAAGAAGGCCUUCGGGUUGUAAAGUACUUUCGGCGGGGAGGCGUUAUCCGCAGAAGAAGCACCGGCUAACUCCGUGCCAGCAGCCGCGGUAAUAC